AUUAAUCCUAUUGGUCUUGACAAUUUCAUAAUUUUUAGGUGUUCUGCUUAUAUGCAUAUAUCUGGUGAAUAUCGAUCUAAACUUGAUCCAAGGUCGAAGAAAUGUGUCUUUGUCAGUUACAUAAAAGGCGUGAAGGUACUCAAGUUAUGGGUUCCGAUUAAAAAGAAGAUGGUAAUCAACAUAAAUGUUAUUUUUUGUUGAGCAGUUAACCUUGAAGUAGUUAGUUACAAUAGAUGUAUCAGCAUCUGAAGAAGAA
rnacentral:lncRNA from 1 species